rnacentral:tRNA from 1 species
GGAGAGGUCGCCUAGAGGCCUAUGGCGGAAGUCUUGAAAACUUCUAGGGGCGAAAGCUCCUCGUGAGUUCGAAUCUCACCCUCUCCG